rfam:Candidatus Roizmanbacteria bacterium RIFCSPLOWO2_01_FTLL_38_12 rifcsplowo2_01_scaffold_20494, whole genome shotgun sequence.
GGAGGGUUGGCAGAAUGGUAAUGCACCGGUUUCGAAAACCGGCGCCCGUAAGGGCUUACAGGUUCGAGCCCUGUACCCUCCG